CCCCCCUGCACCAGGCAGUUCCUAUUAUCACAGGGGAGGCUGCACUGGAUGCUGCCUCAUGAAUCUCGGUGUCUUCCUGAAGCAGUGCAACACUUAUUAUUUUUAUAAUAAAAACUGUGUAGUAUGACAGGUGAGGCUCUGCCUCCCCUGACUGCACGUCCCUGCGCCUGGGGUGCCGAGAAACGCGUUGAGGGUACAGAAGAAAGGGCCGCACUGACCACUAAGUGCCCAAAGGAGAAAUAUAUACACCCACAUUGGCUGUCUGCUACAAGUUGCCGGUAACUUGUUCAUUUGUGAUCAGACUAUAACAUCCAAACCUUCCUCUACACCUGGAAUUUACAAAUAUUCCGCCCUGCUGGGCAUCGCUCACUUGAGCUGGGGGAUCUGCACGGCGGCUUGAUGCACUUACACUGUGCCGCAUUGAAGGGAACGGCUUCCAUCUGAACAUGCUGCUGACGGAUGUUUCACCCGUGCACAGGGUGAUAAUAAGCGGCUUUCAACAACUUACUUCGUGCAGUAAGGAACCACAGCGUUUCAGUGAGUAGCAGCAACCAUACGGUUAUAUAGUCUUUAUUUACUCCAUGGAAACAAUCACUUAAUUUUGGACACAUAUAUAUGGUCAGAGACGCUAAAUAUACCAGUUGGAGGAUUAAUUCCUAUUUGAACUGUGAGAUAUGGAACUAUUUUGAGAGACUAAUCCAAUCUAAUAGAGAGUGUCUCUCUCUAUAAAUUCCUAGCGACCCUUUCUUAUAUCAUCUAUACUAUUUAUGUAUGUAUCUAUGUAGGUAUCAGAGGUUUAUAACACCUCAGUUUCAUGUUUUAGGAAUUAUUGUGGUCUAUUUUUUAGUGUGUUUGUUAUUGUUUUUAUAUCCCAAUAAAUUGCUUUUUAUAGAUAUAA